UUAAAACCUGGGAUGCCCCUUGAUGCUGUUUUACAGAGACUACCAAUAAUUGCUGUGUUACAGCUGUCACAGCCUGCUCCAGACUCCCUUUGUAUAAGUAAUUUGUGUAGGCCAAACAGCAAGGGCUGUUAUCUGUUAAUGCUGUGUACAUUUCUCUCUUCUUGCCUUGUAGGUGUUGCAAGUCCUGACAGUCCCACAGGUUUCCCAUUCUCUGGAAGAUUAGCUCCAUUUCCUGUCAAUGUCUUAGCUAUGUUGUGUCUUCUCCCUGAGGGACCCUCCGGCUAUCCGGAAGCUGGGAGCACCAUGGAAACAAUAUGUGCAAUCCUUAAAGAGGAGGAAAUGUUCCACACUGCCCCAUAACAUCCCCUAUGGCCAUUUAAAGAGCAGCAUUUACCCAGGCCUUGGCUGGAAGUUGGAUGGCUGCAGUAGGAGGGCUUAUUAUUAUUUAUCACGGCACCCAGGGGCUCCAGUCAUGGACCAAGACCCCCUUGUGCUAGGCGCUGCACAAAUACAGAACAAAAAAGCCUCUGUAGGAACAGAGAGAGACUCCUGAUGAGUGGGUCAGGGACAAGGAAGAUUUCCCUCUCCAAACUGAAAGCCGAACAGGAAGUGAAUACCCUGACAUGCUACUCCAAGAUCUGAUUAGCAAAGUGACACCAAUUGUAGAAGCUUCUUUUUUGUUUUUACAUUACACUGAAAAGUAAAGAAGUUGUUCUGCACUAGUUAAUACACUGUGA